rnacentral:rRNA from 1 species
UGCAGUCGAGCGGAUGACGGGAGCUUGCUCCUUGAUUCAGCGGCGGACGGGUGAGUAAUGCCUAGGAAUCUGCCUGGUAGUGGGGGACAACGUUUCGAAAGGAACGCUAAUACCGCAUACGUCCUACGGGAGAAAGCAGGGGACCUUCGGGCCUUGCGCUAUCAGAUGAGCCUAGGUCGGAUUAGCUAGUUGGUGGGGUAAUGGCUCACCAAGGCGACGAUCCGUAACUGGUCUGAGAGGAUGAUCAGUCACACUGGAACUGAGACACGGUCCAGACUCCUACGGGAGGCAGCAGUGGGGAAUAUUGGACAAUGGGCGAAAGCCUGAUCCAGCCAUGCCGCGUGUGUGAAGAAGGUCUUCGGAUUGUAAAGCACUUUAAGUUGGGAGGAAGGGCAGUAAGNUAAUACCUUGCUGUUUUGACGUUACCGACAGAAUAAGCACCGGCUAACUCUGUGCCAGCAGCCGCGGUAAUACAGAGGGUGCAAGCGUUAAUCGGAAUUACUGGGCGUAAAGCGCGCGUAGGUGGUUCGUUAAGUUGGAUGUGAAAGC